GAGUAUGGUGGUUAGUACUCUGCGUUGUGGCCGCAGCAACCCCGGUUCGAAUCCGGGUCA
rnacentral:tRNA from 1 species